UCUUCCAUAUGUGUUCGGCUUGUGAUGUUAGUUCGCCAUUCUUGGAGAUUUCAUCAAGUGUGUUUGCUGCAUGAAUGGUCAUCUUGUAACAUAGGCCCACGUUAGGUGAUACUGAUCGAUCAAUGGUGCAUGAUUACAACUGGGCUUGUACUGGAUAGUUCACUUAAAGCUGCUUCAAUAAUGAGUAGGGUGAAUGUGAGCUAGGAUUAAGAGGAAACUUUAAAUGAUAAUGGGUUUUAGAUUCUGUUAGGUUGAAUUGGGUACAUGUUAGGCCUAAUUAUAGGUACCAAAAUAAGAAAAAUGUUAGGAAUUGUUAGUUUAAUGAGGUGGUUCUAGAAUCUAACGAGAAGAGCACCAGGAUAAGAGGAAAGGGCGACAUAGAGAGAAAAUGGAGGUAUUUUGCUGAUCUAAAACAAUCACAGAGCAUAAAGGCGAAGAAAAAGAAACUGAAACUUGAGAGUUGCAGACAAAGAAGAGCCAAGUCGAUGUUCAGAUUCUGAUUUUAAGAAUCGGAAUAGGUUAAAUUUUGAGGAGUUGAACAGGAAACGGGUUUUAAGGGACGAAAGUUAAUGUGUGGAAUAGGCUGGAGAGAUGUGGGAGAUGGGUCCUCAUUUGGCUUUGUGGCUGCUGGAAUCGAAGAGGAGAUUAUACCUUGGUGCGGUUGCUUCUCUGAGCAAGAACGGUUGAGUUUGUUGUCUGUUUGGGGCUUGUGUGUGAAUCUAUGAACUAAGUUAGGGGUUGACUAUCAGUAUCCUAACUGGGUGGAAAUUGUUUGCCCUGCCUAUUUUAAGUGUUUGAUUAAUUGGAAUUGAAGGAUUAGCUUUAUGAGAUGAUGUGGUGGAUUUGAAAAUGGAGUUGAUGGGGGAAACCAAGACAAAGUCUGAUGGGGAAGUGGAUUUUGCCCAACUCUAAAUCCUUGAUAUGUUCAUGGUGACCUUUUUAAGGCUUGGGAGAACGUUCUUGAGAAUACAUUGGUUAUGCGCUUUGUGUUUCUUACUGAUUUAAAAUUUUCUUAUUAUUUUGCUCUUGGUGGAUAUUAAAAUUGCUCUUAAGCUAUUCUUUGUCUCCACAGUUUGAUUAAUUUUUUCAACUAGUAAAAUUAGCUCAAGGAGGCCUGAGCCAAGUUAUGGGAACAAAGGAUGAGAGACGUUUCAUGGUCA